UUUUUUUUUUUUUUUUAAACUUCUCUCAUCUCAAUAAGUUCCGCUGGAAGGCAUGCGUGUCAGAUUGGGAUUCAAUGAGUUGGCCCUUGAGCCCUCAAAAUACAGAGUCCAGAUGAUCCAAAUAAAAUAUCAGAUUAAUCCGACCCCCUUAAAUAGCGGAUCCAAAUCGAGAGAUAUUCAACAAGUCACUGUUUGACAUCUUUCUUGCUCGAACACACUACCUGUAGCCAAC
rnacentral:misc_RNA from 1 species